GACGAACGCUGGCGGCGUGGUUAACACAUGCAAGUCGAACGGAAAGGCCUCUUUCGGGGGGUACUCGAGUGGCGAACGGGUGAGUAACACGUGAGUAACCUGCCCUUGACUUUGGGAUAACUUCAGGAAACUGGGGCUAAUACCGGAUAGGAGCUCCUGCUGCAUGGUGGGGGUUGGAAAGUUUCGGCGGUUGGGGAUGGACUCGCGGCUUAUCAGCUUGUUGGUGGGGUAGUGGCUUACCAAGGCUUUGACGGGUAGCCGGCCUGAGAGGGUGACCGGCCACAUUGGGACUGAGAUACGGCCCAGACUCCUACGGGAGGCAGCAGUGGGGAAUAUUGCACAAUGGGUGGAAGCCUGAUGCAGCAACGCCGUGUGCGGGAUGACGGCCUUCGGGUUGUAAACCGCUUUCGCUCAUGACGAAGCUUUGUGUGACGGUAGUGGGUAAAGAAGCACCGGCUAACUACGUG
rnacentral:rRNA from 1 species